UCUUCACCAAGCACACGAUUGGAUCCACCGACGACCUGAAAUACUUGCUGAAUUCACUGGUAGCUAGCAGCACUAGCCUUUUUUUGCCUUUACUCCCGCGGCCUGCAGCUCCACCCACCGGAACCGAACUAAACACCGCCGUCGCCGCGGCGACCAAUCGACGCCCCGCCGGCGCGCUCCGACAGGCCAUUCAUUCAUGCAUGGGCGCCAAACGUUGCUCGCGUCCGGCCAGCCAUGCCGGGCUGGGCCAGGUGGUGUCGUGCGCGGUCUCCGCCACCGCGGGCACGCAUUGAUGGAGGCGACCGGGAUGGGUGGCCGGACAGGACGGCCGCCCGGCCGGUGGCUGCUGCAGGGGCCACCGGCGGCGUGCGUGCAGGUGCAGCUGCUCACCUGUUGGGGGUGUGUAUCUCCGCUUUGUUUCCUUCCGGCCGUCCCGGGCCAUGCCUCGCCCGUGCGCUUGUUUCUUCCUCCCUUUCCAUUCUCAUGAUCAAAAGAUGAGAGGUCCCACGCCAUGAUCGAGAGCUAGGAUUUCACUUCGUGCAGUUGCUAUUUGCGUGCAAGGAGUGGUUGGGGGUGAUGCAACGAGACGAUCGAGUAGACGAGGACUGACGAGGACAGAGAAAGGCCGUGCCGUCCCCACGGUGGUUGGUACGUCGGCGCCGGGCGUGUAAACGCGACGACAUAUACAACUGCGUUUUGUUAUGACGCUGACAGUCCAGUUCGUGGCAAGUGUUCUGACAUGCAUCGAGCCACCAACAGAGAGUCUGAAACUGAAAGUCCUGCUCGAAAUUGCCUCGCAUGUACAGCAGCACGCUCGAUGUUCUUUAUCUCGAGCUAGCUCGAUCCAUGGGCAAUAGGCAGGGUAGGGUACUAGGAUUGUUGUUGGUUUCAGGCUUUCAGCUGCCUUUUUUUUCCCUCACCGUA